AAGGCGAGGCAAAGAAGAAGAAAAAAAUACGGAAAAGUAACGUUUUUACUUUUGACCUAAUCUGGCUUUCUUCUCCAGCCUCUCUUUGUUGUCUUCCUUAUACCGUUCCCA
rnacentral:ribozyme from 11 species